UAUUCUCCUUCUCUUUUACAUUGAACAAUCUAAGCACAUCCGUAUUUUUUUUCAUUUUUCAGGUUUUCUCCGUUUCAUAUUCACCGUGAACUUAUUAGUCAUUAUGCCUUGAUGAUAACGAUGUCGUAAGAGUCAUUUGUGUUGCAAAACAAGGUUUGCUCUGUUGCUUCUAACAUAGUUGAUUAUUCUGUUAGAGAUUAAAGAUGGUAACGUUUGGGGGUUUCCUUGUAGAUUUACAUUUAUGCUGCCAUUUCUUGUCUACUAAUUUUUACACCUGUGGCUUAUUUUUGUUUUCUUUUACAUUUUCCUUGUUCUGUUACGUCUUGCCUAGCCAAUAUAAUAAUUAUUUUGUCUUUGUUGUGUAACAUUCUCCAGUCACAAUCUCUAUAUGUCAAGAAUCUGAGCUUUAGGACAUCAGACGAGAGUUUGAUAAAGCAUUUUAGUGGACAAGUGAAGGGGGGAAAACUAUUAAGUGUUAAGGUAAAGAAACACUUGAAGAAUGGGAAGAAUGUUUCAAUGGGUUUUGGUUUUCUGGAGUUCGAUUCUGUGGAGACAGCCACAAAUGUUUGCCGGGAUUUACAGGGAACUAUUUUGGACGGGCAUGCUCUUAUUUUGCAACUUUGUCAUGCCAAGAAAGAUGAAGUGCCUAAAAAGGUUGACAAUGAUAAAAGCUCGACAAAACUACUUGUGAAAAAUGUAGCUUUUGAGGCCACAGAGAAAGAACUGAGACAGCUAUUUAGUCCAUUUGGCCAGUGAAUUUUAGACAAAAUGUUAUGCCGUGAACCCCAAGGCGACGUCGUUUUAGCCAUCACCGUGUUAUCCCGUGAAAAGUUUCAAGGCGACGUUAUUUUUCUAAUAUAUACACUGUUGCCCUCCCUCACCAGUGUAAAGUAAUCUCAUUCUAUGAUAGGUGGUCUAUACCAUUCAUCAAGCUUUCGCGACUUGAAACUUUUCACUCGAGCUUUGGCGACUGGAAGCUUUGGUCUAUACCAUUCACUUCCUUUGUCCGAUUAGAUGCUCAUUAAUUAUUAUUUUUUUGCUG